CACCGCGGUUAGACGAGAGGCCCCAGUUGACGAUAUAACGGCGUAAAGGGUGGUUAGGAACAAAAAAGAAUAAAGCCAAAUGGCCCCUUGGCCGUCAUACGCUUCUAGGCGUCCGAAGCCCCACAGACGAAAGUAGCUUUAAUUAAAUCUGCCCGACCCCACGAAAGCUAAGAAA
rnacentral:rRNA from 1 species